rnacentral:rRNA from 1 species
UGUACACACCGCCCGUCGCUGCAACCGAUUGAGUGCCUCGGUGAAUUGUCGGGAGAGCUUGGCGCGCUCUUGGGUGCGCCGGGUCCGAACUUCAAUAAAUUUAGGUACUUAGAGAUUGCAAAAGUCGUAACAAGGUUUCCGUAGGUGAACCUGCGGAAGGAUCAUUA